rnacentral:rRNA from 1 species
GAGAGAGACAUGCGCGCAUAUCAAUAAGCGGAGGAAAAGAAACUAACAAGGAUUCCCCUAGUAACGGCGAGUGAAGCGGGAAGAGCUCAAAUUUGAAAUCUUAAAGGGUUUCCCUUUACGAAUUGUAGUUUAAAGAAGUGUUUUCUGUUGAGGUUUUGGUAAAAGUUCUUUGGAAUAGGACAUCAUAGAGGGUGAGAAUCCCGUAUUUGACCUUUACUUUCAACUUUGUGAUACACUUUCAAAGAGUCGGAUUGUUUGGGAAUGCAGUCCAAAAUGGGUGGUAAAUUUCAUCUAAAGCUAAAUAUUGGCGAGAGACCGAUAGCGAACAAGUACCGUGAGGGAAAGAUGAAAAGAACUUUGAAAAGAGAGUUAAACAGGUACGUUGAAAUUGUCAAAAGGGAAGCGUUUGACACCAGUGUUGUUUUUCUGAAAAUCAAUUAAAGAACUGUUUAUGCUAAGUUGUUUAGACUUUAUCAGCUAACUGUUUAGUUUUGAGCUUUUCUUUAAUGCACUUUUCAGUUAACAAGUCAACAUCAAUUUCUUUUGCUGUAAAAAAGCUUGAGGAAGGUGGCUUGAGAUUCGUCUUAAGUGUUUAUAGCCUCUUGCCUAUGCAGUCGGAGAGAUUGAGGUCUGCAGCGUAGAUCCUUCGGGGCUAAAUGCAUUUGUGCUAAGUUAUAGCAUUUUAUAGACAACUUGUUGACUAUGAUUUGUCUUGUAGCUUACUCGCUUAUGUUAUUUUACCUACGCUUAGGAUGUUGACGCAUGAGAUAUACGC